rnacentral:lncRNA from 1 species
AAGUGGAUUGUAGACCUUCUAAGGUCUUUUGACAUCUGCGUAUCUCUAGCACAGCACUUAUCACGGUGAUUAUUUAUCUGUUCAUCUUUCCAAGUAGACACUCUCAUUUUAACUCCCUACCCUAGUCGCCAGCAUCCCCAGCAUAGUGCCUGUCAUAAAAUGGUGCCACAAUGAAAAUUUGAAAAAUGAAUGAAUUGAACGUGAUAAACAUAGAUGAGAAUCCUAUAUUCUAUAAUUUUUUAAAUGUACUGAAAUUAUUCUUUUUGAAUCCUAUUCAUUUCUGUGACUUCUUUGGUUGCUUUUCCCAAGUUUAAUUUCUCUCCAUUUGACCUUUUAAGGAUGUGAAUUGGCUUUAAGCAGUAGACUCCCUUUAGUACGGCACUGUGAGCCUCUCAGUGAAUCUGCUACAUCCAUUCCACCCACGGGUCUGGAAACUUGUCUGUUUACCUUUCCCUAAAAACCUAAGAUAUAUUUUUAAGAAGUGCCUUGUAACUUUUCAUAUAGCCUUUCCCCUACUUUGGGUAGACUGUUUCUUACAGGAAUUUGGUAGAUCUUUCCAAAGAGAAUUCUGUAUCUCUAUUUUUAAAGCAUAAAUCCUGUCAACUUUGGAGGAGAACUGAUUUGGCUUGAGUUUUCUCAGACAUGGGAACUUUUGACCUAAGUUUGUAUUUUACAUUGUUGAAAGGGAACUCCGGGAUCCCAGAAAACAUAUGGACUGCAAUUGGGUAAAGUUUCUGUUUGAGUACUUAUUCCUACUUACUAGCCGUUUAAUCUUGGUCAAGUCAGCCAUGUGGCUCUCAACUUCCUCAUCUGUAACAUAAAAGGAUUAGAGUAGACAAUCUCUAACAAAUGCUAUAAUACCACUGACAAAUAAUAAUAUUAGCUAAUAUGUGUAAGGCACUGUGUUUAGUGCUUUUUCCCUUAAUACAAUAGCUUUGAGAUAUAAUUUAUAUACCAUACAAUUUACUUCUUAAAAAAGUACACAAUUCAGUAAUUUUAGUAGAUAGGAGUAACCAUCACCACAGUCAAUUCUAGAAUAUUUUUAUACAUCAGAAGAAACCCUUUACCCAUUAUCAAUUACUUUCCAUUCCUCCUAACUCCCUCCCAGCCCUAGGCAACUACUAGUCUACUUUCUGUCUUUAUUUGCCUCUUCUGGACAUUUCAUACAAAUGGAAACAUGCAGCAUGUAGUAAUUUAUGACAGCUUCUUUCACUUAGCAUGA